rnacentral:rRNA from 1 species
GAGUUUGAUCUUGGCUCAGGAUGAACGCUGGCGGCGUGCCUAACACAUGCAAGUCGAACGGAGUUGUUUAGGAAGUUUCCUUCGGGGAACGGAUUUCUCAACUUAGUGGCGGACGGGUGAGUAACGCGUGAGCAAUCUGCCUUUAGGAGGGGGAUAACAGUCGGAAACGGCUGCUAAUACCGCAUGAUGCACUGAGGAGGCAUCUCUUUGGUGUCAAAGGAGCAAUCCGCCUUUAGAUGAGCUCGCGUCUGAUUAGCUAGUUGGCGGGGUAACGGCCCACCAAGGCGACGAUCAGUAGCCGGACUGAGAGGUUGAACGGCCACAUUGGGACUGAGACACGGCCCAGACUCCUACGGAGGCAGCAGUGGGGGAUAUUGCACAAUGGAGGAAACUCUGAUGCAGCGACGCCG